AUUGAACGCUGGCGGCAGGCUUAACACAUGCAAGUCGAGCGGAGUGAUGGUGCUUGCACUAUCACUUAGCGGCGGACGGGUGAGUAAUGCUUAGGAAUCUGCCUAUUAGUGGGGGACAACAUCUCGAAAGGGAUGCUAAUACCGCAUACGUCCUACGGGAGAAAGCAGGGGAUCACUUGUGACCUUGCGCUAAUAGAUGAGCCUAAGUCGGAUUAGCUAGUUGGUGGGGUAAAGGCCUACCAAGGCGACGAUCUGUAGCGGGUCUGAGAGGAUGAUCCGCCACACUGGGACUGAGACACGGCCCAGACUCCUACGGGAGGCAGCAGUGGGGAAUAUUGGACAAUGGGGGGAACCCUGAUCCAGCCAUGCCGCGUGUGUGAAGAAGGCCUUAUGGUUGUAAAGCACUUUAAGCGAGGAGGAGGCUCUUUUGGUUAAUACCCAAAAUGAGUGGACGUUACUCGCAGAAUAAGCACCGGCUAACUCUGUGCCAGCAGCCGCGGUAAUACAGAGGGUGCAAGCGUUAAUCGGAUUUACUGGGCGUAAAGCGCGCGUAGGCGGCCAAUUAAGUCAAAUGUGAAAUCCCCGAGCUUAACUUGGGAAUUGCAUUCGAUACUGGUUGGCUAGAGUGUGGGAGAGGAUGGUAGAAUUCCAGGUGUAGCGGUGAAAUGCGUAGAGAUCUGGAGGAAUACCGAUGGCGAAGGCAGCCAUCUGGCCUAACACUGACGCUGAGGUGCGAAAGCAUGGGGAGCAAACAGGAUUAGAUACCCUGGUAGUCCAUGCCGUAAACGAUGUCUACUAGCCGUUGGGGCCUUUGAGGCUUUAGUGGCGCAGCUAACGCGAUAAGUAGACCGCCUGGGGAGUACGGUCGCAAGACUAAAACUCAAAUGAAUUGACGGGGGCCCGCACAAGCGGUGGAGCAUGUGGUUUAAUUCGAUGCAACGCGAAGAACCUUACCUGGCCUUGACAUAGUAGAAACUUUCCAGAGAUGGAUUGGUGCCUUCGGGAAUCUACAUACAGGUGCUGCAUGGCUGUCGUCAGCUCGUGUCGUGAGAUGUUGGGUUAAGUCCCGCAACGAGCGCAACCCUUUUCCUUACUUGCCA
rnacentral:rRNA from 1 species